rfam:Heterocephalus glaber contig93433, whole genome shotgun sequence.
GAAUGCGAGGGAGAUUUGGCAGCAAAAUCUGUAACCCCAUUGAUGGCCAGGAUUGAUUCUGCUGAUCUGGAUGGCUAAGUAGGUGUCACCUUCCUCAAUCAUCAUUCUAUGUGUGUCCCUCCCAAACUCAGUAUCAAAGGAUGACCAUGCCCAAUAGAGGAGGACUGUUUCUUUGGUCAAGAGUAUAUGAGUAGCUGUGCUCCUCUGCUAGAACCUCCAAACAAGCUCUAUAAGAAUAUAAAAAGUAAGGAGCCUUAACGUGUAUAGACAAGAUUUAAAUUGCCCCCAGGCAUAGUAGCACAUGCCUGUAAUA